rnacentral:lncRNA from 10 species
GAAGUGUUCAGAGAGAGUGAACUGAAACUUGUUCUCUAGUCUUUUCUCCCGGAUGGGAAGCAAUGACGUGGGGAGAGAGCGCGGAGGAAGGGAGAGAUCCAGAAAGGUAGAUUCUUCUGUGUAGAUUCUCACCUGGGCUUCAGUAAACGAAUUUUGCAUGGAGAGUUUCAGAUGAUGUUCAGUGACAAAUUUGUACCUCAGACAACUUGGGAUUCAGAAGAAUAUUUUGCUGCGACAUUGGAUUAACUCAAUUAUGUAGUAAUUAACAAGAUCUACUUCAAGUAUGAGGAUUUCAACACAUGCACAUAUACACUUACCACCUAGAGUUUUUAGUGGCUGGAAAGCAGCGGAAAUCCUCUUGAAGGGGAACUUUGUCAUCAGAGACCAAAGAAACAGGUCUAGUAAUUAGUCCAAAGUUAUUGUGUGGCAAUAGCUGGGUAAAGUGUCCAAGAGCAGGAAUUUAUUUUUGUUCAGGACUCUGUUGGUUUCUUGUAUUAUACCAUAACCAUAACAUUAAAUGCCCACUCGUUACACUGCAUUGACAUCAGCUAAUGCUAAGCUUCUCUCCUGCCUGAAGUGUAGCCCUUUCUGUUUUCAAUACCACCAUCCUUCUUCUUUGCUUGCCUACACUUAGAGGAACACUUUCAUCACUUACCAGGUAGACUGAGAAAAAUGUGGCCUUGGCCCUUUUUGAAUGGCAUCAUUAAAGGUAUGCAGAAAUUUAAAAGUGAUUUUGCACAAACACAUGGGCUUGUGAUUUCAGGAAAUAUUUAGUUGACUUCCUUCCUGGAGAUUCUAGGCCAUGGAGGUGCAGCAAAGUUAACCAGAGGGUAACAGUCAAUUAUAGCCACGUUCAUAGCAAUACUACUUGCAACAGUGCUAAACUGGAAACAACCCAACCCA